CAGUAUCCAUAGCCAAUUCUUUCAGAGGAUUCUGGAGCGGAAGAAGGAGUCUCUGGUGGAUAAAAGUGAAAAGAACUUUCUCAUCAAGAGGAUAGGGGAUGUACUUGUAAAUCAGUUUUCAGGUGAGAAUGCAGAACGUUUAAAGGAGACAUAUGGCAAGUUUUGUGGGCAGCAUAACCAGUCUGUAAACUACUUCAAAGACCUUUAUGCCAAGGAUAAGCGUUUUCAAGCCUUUGUAAAGGUAUUGAUAAGAAACAUGAAAAUCCCUGUCAUUGUUGAGAGCCAUGUGUCCCUGUCGGCUUUCACUAGAGCCUUUUUCAUGUGAUUCCUCACAGUCUGUUUACUCCCUUGCAGAAGAAGAUGAGCAGUUCAGUUGUUAGAAGGCUUGGAAUUCCAGAGUGCAUAUUGCUUGUAACUCAGCGGAUUA
rnacentral:sRNA from 1 species